rnacentral:rRNA from 1 species
GAUGAACGCUGGCGGCGUGCCUAAUACAUGCAAGUCGAGCGAACAGAUGAGGAGCUUGCUCCUCUGACGUUAGCGGCGGACGGGUGAGUAACACGUGGAUAACCUACCUAUAAGACUGGGAUAACUUCGGGAAACCGGAGCUAAUACCGGAUAAUAUAUUGAACCGCAUGGUUCAAUAGUGAAAGACGGUUUUGCUGUCACUUAUAGAUGGAUCCGCGCCGCAUUAGCUAGUUGGUAAGGUAACGGCUUACCAAGGCAACGAUGCGUAGCCGACCUGAGAGGGUGAUCGGCCACACUGGAACUGAGACACGGUCCAGACUCCUACGGGAGGCAGCAGUAGGGAAUCUUCCGCAAAGGGCGAAAGCCUGAUGGAGCAACGCCGCGUGAGUGAUGAAGGUCUUCGGAUCGUAAAACUCUGUUAUUAGGGAAGAACAAAUGUGUAAGUAACUAUGCACGUCUUGACGGUACCUAAUCAGAAAGCCACGGCUAACUACGUG